rnacentral:rRNA from 1 species
UACGGAGGAUGCGAGCGUUAUCCGGAUUUAUUGGGUUUAAAGGGUGCGCAGGCGGGCUGUUAAGCCGGCGGUAAAAAUUCAGGGCUCAACCCUGUCGAGCCGUCGGAACUGGCAGUCUUGAGUACAGUAGAGGUGGGCGGAAUUCGUGGUGUAGCGGUGAAAUGCUUAGAUAUCACGAAGAACUCCGAUUGCGAAGGCAGCUCACUGGACUGCAACUGACACUGAGGCUCGAAAGUGUGGGUAUCAAACAGG